CCUUGAAAUUAAUGGACGGCUGGAGUGAAUAUAUGUCCAUUGCAUUCACCAAUUUGAAGAGUCCAAACUCCAAAAUUGAAACCAAUUAACCGAGGGCUGAACGGACUGCUGAAGGCGAACUGGCGAAUGGCGAUUGCGAAGACAGUGGACUGGUGCUUGGCAGAGUGGUGCGAGUUGAGUGGAUGGUGAGUCGGUGACCGGUGAGCCGUGAGCAACGAGGAGGUGGAUGAUGGAGUGGUGCGAUUGUGCGAGUUGAGUGGACGCCGAUGGCUGCGAGUGCGACUUCUUGCCUUGGUGAAGACCCGAGUUGAACGAGAUGAUUAGAAAUAAUUUAUGCGAGAAAAGAGCUAAAGAUAAAGGAAAACGAAGAAGACGACCAAAGAUGCAGUCGAAUAAUUUUAUUUUAUUUUUUUAUAAAAGUGGGUAGAAAUUUGGGCGCUGUAUGCCCAGUUAAAGCCCCAAGAAAGGAGCAGAAUAUUUGGCGCCUAUGCGCCAAUCGGGGCAUUUUUGUUAAAUUACAGAAUCACAGGGACCAAGGCUCCGAUAUUCCUUUAGGUUACAUUUUAAAAAGGAGACUUUUCUUCUUUGCAAUUAGAGGCAGUCGGCUGGGGACUUCACAGCAGCUUCUUCACUGCCGAUUUUCUUCCUCCUUUUUUUUUUUUUUUUCCUUCUUCUUUCUCUUUCUUUUUCCUUCAUCUUUUCACCUUGGUUUUCUUGGAUAUUUUGGGGAAACUCAGAGCAUGAUGAUGGUGGAGUAGCUUGGAGAAGAAGACCAUUUGAUAUUGAAGAAACCUUCAACUAUUUCUCCAUUAUCAAUAAGCUUUUCUUUCUUUAAUCUAUUUUCCAUUGAUGUUUUGUAAGAAAUUGUUGGUUAUUUGUGAAUAUUUCAUGGAUAACUAAUUAUAUUUGUGAUUGGGGAUUAUUUCAAAUCCAAAUUAUGAUUUUCAAUUUGUGCUU